rnacentral:rRNA from 8 species
CAUUGGAACCACCUGAUCCCAUCCCGAACUCAGCAGUGAAACGAUGCAUCGCCGAUGGUAGUGUGGGGUUUCCCCAUGUGAGAGUAGGUCAUCGUCAAGA